rnacentral:rRNA from 1 species
GACGAACGCUGGCGGCGUGCCUAAUACAUGCAAGUUGAGCGCUGAAGGUUGGUACUUGUACCAACUGGAUGAGCAGCGAACGGGUGAGUAACGCGUGGGGAAUCUGCCUUUGAGCGGGGGACAACAUUUGGAAACGAAUGCUAAUACCGCAUAAAAACUUUAAACACAAGUUUUAAGUUUGAAAGAUGCAAUUGCAUCACUCAAAGAUGAUCCCGCGUUGUAUUAGCUAGUUGGUGAGGUAAAGGCUCAACAAGGCGAUGAUACAUAGCCGACCUGAGAGGGUGAUCGGCCAAAUUGGGACUGAGACACGGCCCAAACUCCUACGGGAGGCAGCAGUAGGGAAUCUUCGGCAAUGGACGAAAGUCUGACCGAGCAACGCCGCGGGAGUGAAGAAGGUUUUCGGAUCGUAAAACUCUGUUGGUAGAGAAGAACGUUGGUGAGAGUGGAAAGCUCAUCAAGUGACGGUAACUACCCAGAAAGGGACGGCUAACUACGUG